rnacentral:rRNA from 1 species
UACGUAGGGCGCAAGCGUUUGUCCGGAAUUAUUGGGCGUAAAGAGCUCGUAGGCGGCUUGUCACGUCGGGUGUGAAAGCCCGGGGCUUAACCCCGGGUCUGCAUUCGAUACGGGCUAGCUAGAGUUCGGUAGGGGAGUGGUGGAAUUCCUGGUGGAGCGGUGGAAAUGCGCAGAUAUCAGGAGGAACACCCGUAGCGAAGGCGGCACUCUGGGCCGAUACUGACACUGAGGAGCGAAAGCGUGGGGAGCGAACAGG